rnacentral:rRNA from 1 species
CCAUAUCAAUAAGCGGAGGAAAAGAAACCAACAGGGAUUGCCUCAGUAACGGCGAGUGAAGCGGCAACAGCUCAAAUUUGAAAUCUGGCCCUAGGCCCGAGUUGUAAUUUGCAGAGGAUGCUUUUGGUGCGGUGCCUUCCAAGUUCCCUAGAACGGGACGCCAGAGAGGGUGAGAGCCCCGUACAGUUGGACACCAAGCCUUUGUAAAGCUCCUUCGACGAGUCGAGUAGUUUGGGAAUGCUGCUCAAAAUGGGAGGUAUAUUUCUUCUAAAGCUAAAUACCGGCCAGAGACCGAUAGCGCACAAGUAGAGUGAUCGAAAGAUGAAAAGCACUUUGAAAAGAGGGUUAAACAGCACGUGAAAUUGUUAAAAGGGAAGCGCUUGUGACCAGACUUGCGUCCGGUGAAUCACCCAGCUCUCGCGGCUGGGGCACUUCGCCGGCUCAGGCCAGCAUCAGCUCGCUGUCGGGGACAAAAGCUUCAGGAACGUAGCUCUCUUCGGGGAGUGUUAUAGCCUGUUGCACAAUACCCUUCGGCGGGCUGAGGUACGCGCUCCGCAAGGAUGCUGGCAUAAUGGUCAUCAGCGACCCGUCUUGAAACACGGACCAAGGAGUCAACCUUAUGUGCGAGUGUUCGGGUGUCAAACCCCUACGCGUAAUGAAAGUGAACGCAGGUGAGAGCUUCGGCGCAUCAUCGACCGAUCCUGAUGUUCUCGGAUGGAUUUGAGUAAGAGCAUAUAGGGUUGGACCCGAAAGAAGGUGAACUAUGCGUGUAUAGGGUGAAGCCAGAGGAAACUCUGGUGGAGGCUCGCAGCGGUUCUGACGUGCAAAUCGAUCGUCAAAUAUGCGCAUGGGGGCGAAAGACUAAUUGAACCUUCUAGUAGCUGGUUCGC